GGAUUCCCCUAGUAACGGCGAGUGAAGUGGGAAAAGCUCAACUUUGUAAUCUGGCUGUCUUUGGCAGUCCGAGUUGUAGUCUAGAGAAGUGUUAUCCGCGCAGACCCUUAUAGAUUUCGGUUGGAAUGCCAAGUCAAAGAGGGUGAGAAUCCCGUAUUUGAUAAGGUGGUCUUGUGCAUUGUGAUACAUUUUCAAAGAGUCGAGUUGUUUGGGAAUGCAGCUCAAAGUGGGUGGUAAAUUCCAUCUAAAGCUAAAUAUUGGCGAGAGACCGAUAGCGAACAAGUACCGUGAGGGAAAGAUGAAAAGCACUUUGGAAAGAGAAUGAAAUAGUACAUGAAAUUGCUGAAAGGGAAACGAUUGAAGUUAGACUUGCGCAGUUGGUAUUCAGCCUUGGCUUCGGUCUUGGUGCAUUUGCCUUCUAUUGCAGGCCAGCAUCAGUUUACUUUGCUGUAAAAGGGUUUGAGGAAUGUGGCUCUUUCGGGAGUGUUAUAGCCUCUUACUGGAUGCAGAAUCGUAGACUGAGGAACGCAGCACGCCUUUCGGGGCAAAGUCUUUAGGCUUUGAGUGCUUAGGAUGCUGGUAGAAUAGCUUUAA
rnacentral:rRNA from 1 species